rnacentral:lncRNA from 1 species
ACCCCAUAUCCCCCCCUUAAUCCCCCAACCAAACAGCUUGGAGUAUUAGAAGUAUUUAGAAAAUAAAUUUUAUUAGUUUUACAUAUCAUAUACAUAGUGAUUGAAAGAAUCCACAAUCAGCAACAAAAAAAAUUAAAAUUUUACAAAAAGUGAUGAUAUAUAUGACAUUAAAAUUUUAGAUCAAAAAUAUUGAUUUUGCUAUAAAUAGUGUAAGCGAUUUUCUACCGAAAUUUUUCAUAAUUGGAUAUUUCGACACCGUUAAACUCACAAAUGACACAUAUCAAUCUUUAAAAAUUAUUAAUUUUAAAUCCUUUCUAUUACUAGGUAAAUUAUAUCAAAAACUCGCAAGCUUUUUUUCUCGAUACUGCAUAUACUUUAGAUCAAAGUAUAAUGGAGCCGAUCGUCGAUUUAGAAAUCUCAUAAUUGAAAAUAACCUACUAGUAUAGAGGCCUCCAUGCUCCUAACAAUAUAACAUCCCUAUUCUCUCUCUCUCUCUAUAUAUAUAGGAGAGGGAGAGUGUUUUCGAUUUGUGUGCUUUUAAAAACAUGGUGGCUUUUGUACUAUCAAGUUAUUUUUGAUGCUAGAACCUUUGAAUCGACGAUCGGUUACGUUAGACUUGAUUUAGAAUAUUAAAAUACCUAAAAAAUAAAUUUUGUAAUUUUUUGGUAUUGUUUAGCUAAUGAUAAAAAAGGCUCAAAAUCAACGGUUGAAAAUAAAAAUCGAACAAAAUGUGAUGAUACUAAAAUCUUAGCUAGUGUAACUAAUUUUUUAUCAAAAUUUUAUAUGAUUUGGAUAUUUUUACACCGUUAAACUUGAAAACAGCUCAUUAUAACUAUUAAAAUUAUUGAUUAUGGGCUCCUUCGAUCACUAGGGAAAUAGUAUGAAAAAGUCACAAAAUUUAUUUUUUAGGUAUUUCAAAUACUCUAAAUUUAGUCUAAUGGAGACGAUCAUCAAUUCAGAGUUACUAGCAUCGAAAAUAACUUGAUAUGUAAUAUCCAAGACUGUUAAAUCAAGAGGAAUUCAAAUUUUGAAUUUGAAUUUUUUAUUAAAUUUGAAUUAUAUAUAUAUAUAUAAAAUGUAUAUAUAUGUAUGUGGUGUUUAUGAAUCGGAGAGAGGAUAGGUUUCGUCGUGAAUCUGCAACCAAUUCAGGCAAAACAAAAUUGUG